CCAGACUCCUACGGGAGGCAGCAGUGGGGAAUAUUGCGCAAUGGGCGAAAGCCUGACGCAGCGACGCCGCGUGAGCGAUGAAGUAUUUCGGUAUGUAAAGCUCUAUCAGCAGGGAAGAAGAUGACGGUACCUGACUAAGAAGCCCCGGCUAACUACGUGCCAGCAGCCGCGGUAAUACGUAGGGGGCAAGCGUUAUCCGGAUUUACUGGGUGUAAAGGGAGCGUAGACGGCGAUGCAAGUCUGAAGUGAAAGGCGGGGGCCCAACCCCCGGACUGCUUUGGAAACUGUAUAGCUGGAGUGCAGGAGGGGCAGGCGGAAUUCCUGGUGUAGCGGUGAAAUGCGUAGAUAUCAGGAGGAACACCGGUGGCGAAGGCGGCCUGCUGGACUGCGACUGACGUUGAGGCCCGAAAGCGUGGGGAGCAAACAGGAUUAGAUACCCCUGUA
rnacentral:rRNA from 1 species